GACGAACGCUGGUCGGCGUGCCUAACACAUGCAAGUCGAACGGAGUUGCUCCUUCGGGAGUAACUUAGUGGCGAACGGGUGAGUAACGCGUGAGAAACCUGCCUUUCAGUGGGGGACAACAGUUGGAAACGACUGCUAAUACCGCAUAAUGUUAUUUGGGGGCAUCCCCGAGUAACCAAAGAUUUAUUGCUGAAAGAUGGUCUCGCGUCUGAUUAGCUAGUUGGUGAGGUAACGGCUCACCAAGGCGACGAUCAGUAGCCGGUCUGAGAGGAUGAACGGCCACCAUUGGGACUGAGAUACGGCCCAGACUCCUACGGGAGGCA
rnacentral:rRNA from 1 species